rnacentral:lncRNA from 1 species
UUGGGCAGGCUGGUCUUGAACUUCUGACCUCAGGUCAUCCAUCCACCUCAGCCUCCCAAAGUGUUGGGAUUACAGACACGAGCCACCACACCUGGCCGGGAGGAGACAGGGUUUAGACUCAGGGUGGGACGAGGGGAGCCCCUGCUCCUCAUCUGUGGCCUCUGUGUCUUCCUAGGAUCAGCAUUAACAAGGACACCAAGGUACCCAAUGCCUCUUUAUUCACCAUCAACAAAGAAGACCACACACUGGGAAACAUCAUUAAAUCUUAAGUUUCCCGUCACAGGCUCUCAGGGGCUGUGUUUAAUGGGCCCCUCUGGGCAAAGCACAAGUUCCAAGUCUUCCUCAGUCUCUCUGAGCUACAGGAAGUCCUUCUGGGGGCUUGCUGUGGGCAUUUUAUAAUCUUGGUACCUUUUUAUCAAAAUGACACCGACCUCUGGGAUUACAGACGUGAGCUACUGCGCCCGGCCUUACAUUCACCAUUAAGUGCACAUUCUGUAAAUGAACGAGCAGCAGAUUCCAGCACAGUAGGCCUGUGUGUUAUUCAUGCUGAGGGACAUUGAAAAGCAGUCAAGAUGAGCUCCCCUCAUGCCACCCGUUUGUGACCUCAGUGCCACCUGGGCCUCUAAGAUGUAUGUGGCAGAGACUAGAACUUCUAUUUAACAAGAGAAAGAAGUAGGAGUUCUGUGGCUAUCCAGUGCCCCUAAUGGGCGCC